UACGUAGGGCGCAAGCGUUGUCCGGAAUUAUUGGGCGUAAAGAGCUCGUAGGCGGCCUGUCGCGUCUGCUGUGAAAUCCCGGGGCUUAACCCCGGGCGUGCAGUGGAUACGGGCUGGCUGGAGGCAGGCAGGGGAGAACGGAAUUCCCGGUGUAGCGGUGAAAUGCGCAGAUAUCGGGAGGAACACCGGUGGCGAAGGCGGUUCUCUGGGCCUGUUCUGACGCUGAGGAGCGAAAGCGUGGGAGCGAACAGG
rnacentral:rRNA from 1 species